UUCAGUUGUGUUGCAUCUCGCGCGAGUACGUACUACGUUGUCGUCGAGUGGUGGUUCUUUAUUCUAUGCAGUGGUUCUGAAAGCGCUGCGUUAGGGGUGACUGCAACCAGGCGUUGCGGCAAGUUACGGUGGGAACUUCUGUCCGUGCUGUGUGAUUGCGACGAGGACGACUGCCGCCAGCAGGGCGUGUCGCCGAUUUCGUCUUUGCCGACGUCGAGCAAGUGCAGCGCCGGAAGUGUUGCGUUUUGCACUGCAUUUUCCUUGUGAUAUGGGAGAUCGCAACGCAGAGACGACCACAUGCAUACGAAAGACUACCAGCGGAGAGUGACCUGUGCCAUAUUUCUCUUAACCUCUCAGGUAUUCAAGAAAUGGCAACAUCCAGAAGAAGACGCCAUCUUAUCCAGCACGUUAUGGGUACACUCUGGUGGCUCCCGCCCCUGCAUCCUACGACCACCGUGUCCUCACUAUGUUCACUAGGGAGUUCGAAGCCUUUGGCGGCUCCUGCCACUGCGUCCUGCCACCACCGUGUCCUGGCUACGUCCACUAGGGAGUUGGCAGCCUUCGUGAUGAUGCCAAGCAGGCUGGAAGCUGACAGAACGAUCGAGGUUGCCUCGAAAUUUUACCCAAGCCGUGCCACACACUGGGGCCAGGCCUCUUGCAAACGACGUAUAACCAGGCUCAACGCAGGGCGUCGAGUGAGUCCGGAGAGGCAACCUGCUGUGCAACCAGCGUGCAACCUUUGGUGACCCUCAACAUGUUCCACAUAUUUCACAGCUGCACUCAGCUUCCACCUAUCCAAACCGCAUCACCAGCUGUGGUCACUCAUCGAACCAUGGAUGAAUGUUGGGGUGGAGUGAUUUGAAGAGACAUUUUUUUUGUCUCUUCAAAUCCUUAGCAAAUACUUGUGUUAUUAUAAUUAAUAUGUGUCUUUAGUGCCUAGUUUUUAAUGGUUCCUUUCUAUUAGAAUUCUCGCCAUCGAUUCCUGCUAUUAUAAUGUAUGUCUGUCCUUAUGCACAGUUUUUCAUAGUUCUUUUGUACUUGUCUAUGUAAUUGAUAGGUUCAUACUUCUUGUUAUACAGAAGGCUAAAAUGCAAACUUACGGCAUUUUUUUCUUCCUUUUGAUAAUCUACAGCACUGCAAAGUGUUCAAGAAAUGGAACCCAACGUGGGCUCUGGUGCAGGAAAAAUUUAAGAGCAAUAUAGAGUACUUAUUUCAAACACCCAUUAUUUUUGGAAAAGUAAAGAAUAUAGGAGCACAAAAAAGAAAAUAUUAAACUAGAGAAACAUGAGUUCCCCUCAUAAGUCUGAUAAUAAUGUGACUUCCCUUCACUGCAAAGACACCAGUAAUAUACUCGCAUACAAGGUUUGAAACAAGAAAGCUAUGAUGGUCUUGGCAUUUCUCAGUGCCUAUUUGUCACACUGACGAAUGUCAAAGGCAUCGUAGGUUUCAUGUACACAUUGGUUGUGUUACACUUUUGAGUAUUGCAUUUCUCAAACACAAAGGUUUACAGCAGUGCUUUAAAUAGCAAAUGCAUUUCCUAAUUUAUUAGUGCAAGAGGAACAGUACAGAUCAUGUAAAAAUUUUUUUACAGACUAUAUGUCCAUGGAUGCACGCUUCUGAUGACAUAGCAGUGACGUGGUCGUGGGAUGAAUGACUUUAUUUCAGAUUUAAAUAUUGGCUUCCAAGUCUGGGCUAGUCUCCUACACUGAAUAGUCUAGGUCAGAGCCCAUUUACUAGAGAAAGUGAAUUAAACUAGGAAUUAUAAACAUCAAAGAUCUUGUUUAGGAAAUUAAUGUGACAAUCAGCAAGGUUCUUUGGCUAUUCAUUUCCAAAUUUGUAGGAUAUAUUUUAUGACUGGUUUCAUUAUUGUGAGAACAAAUAUUUGUUUAUUGUCACACUAGAGUUGGCUGCCCCCAUUUGUAUACAACCCCUUUACAGGCUUAAAAUUCAGUGUGUUGCCCUAUUUACUCGCAUAAUGAUCGCACUUUAUUGUAAAAAAAAAUUGACUCAAAUGCAGAGGUGCGAUCAUUACGCUGGGUAAAUUUCCCACAAAAAGAAAAAAAUAUAUCCUCUGGCAUUUGCUACGGGAUGACAACAGGUCAACAAAGAGGUGGCUGCCUCUGUAUGUACUGCGGGACACACACAAACAAAAAAAAACAUGGUGGCCGGCAGAGCCAGCCGAACGCGCCGAACACGAUUUUUUUUCUUUUCGUGAGUACAUUACGUGCAUUCAAACAGUUUCUUCCGUAUCAGUAAUGAAUAAUAUUGGCAAGUUUGCGGCAAUAACAUAGCCAUGUCCACUUUGAAGGGACAGAAACAGAUGGGCGCGCUUAGCUGCCUGUGACAUAGGAACACAUGGCGGGCAUGCUGCGGAAACUGCGGCAUUUGUCUUCACCACUAUCCUAAUAUGGCACGUUUCCGCUAAGGGUGGGCGAAUAUCUUAGCUGCGUUACAAACGUCGGCGAAUGAAUAGGGUACACUUCUAACGUAUCACUGUAAACGUGGCUGCUAUCGUUGCCACUCGCGAUUUGUUGCGUGCCCACAAGUGCAGACGAGGAGAAACGAAAGACGCCUUUUUUGUUGUUUUUGUUGACCACAGCCAUUACAAAGCCUACACAUAAUAAAGGCAAGUUUGGUUGUAGCUUUUUUUUGUCAUAUAAGUGCGGAAAGUGAUGGAAGGAAUGAAAUGGGGCAUCUGCUUAAGAAUGUUUGGUGCGUGCAGACUGCUUGGUUUGUCUUGAAGACUUGUUCUCAUAGCAGUUGACAGAUGGUAAGCGUUAUCAUUAUUAGCUAGACUUGGCACAUGACAUAUCGCUGCGGCAAGUUUGGGGUGCCAUCUUAAACGAGAAAUAAAAAAAUCGAAUUUUGACAUCAGAAUUCCAAAGCGGCAGCAGUUGCGGUCCAAGUGUGCGCUUGCUAAAGUAUUCUUCUACGUUUCACAGAAUUCUACGGCCCGGGGCUAUCAUCUGCUGGCGAAGCUGUUUUCUGCUCCAUACCGCACGUGGGUGUAAUCGCUGCUCCUCCAGGUGCGCCCAAGCUCCGCUACGUGGCGACGGGAUCGCAUCCAGAGCGCCUGCGCCAGACCAUUUGAGGCCUUAAAAGCUUCCGUCGGAUGGACACCGGCAUCAAGGCGGCAGCAGUUGCGGUCCAAGUGUGCGCUUGCUAAAGUAUUCUUCUACGUUUCACAGGUUGGUACUUUUUUUCCCUGGUGAUAGCAUAAGAGUAUUUGUGACCGCAACUGCUGCUGCUGCUGCUGCAUUCGCGUUUCGCACUCUAUCGUUUUUCAAGUUGCUUUUCCGUUAUGCCUACCAAUGUGGAGUUGGCCAAGCGACUCGAUGAUCUCGAGGCGCAAUUUCAAGGUAGAUUGCAAAGACUGGUCGAAAAACUUGUUUCCAAUGUGAAAGGGAAGCUGCAGGAAGCUGGAUUGGAUAACAGCACCCUGCGUACCCAAGUUUCUGGCAUGGAUGGCAGUCUGACCAUGCUAAAUGAAAUUGUCGAGAACACGCGUACCCAGCAAGCUGAGCUAUCGGCAGCAAACAAGGCUCUGAAAUCAGAAAAUGAAGCCCUUAAAAAAAGGCUAGCCGAGAUGGAACAGUAUUCUAGAAUCAACAAUGUUGAGAUCAAAGGAAUACCAUUUACAAAGGAGGAAGACUGCAUUUCUAUUGUAACUGCCAUUGCCGAUAAGGCGGCAUGCUCUCUUGCUCCACUCGAGAUCGAGAUAGCGCAUCGUGUGCCCACUAAAUCAGGUCAUCAAAAUAUUAUUGCUAGGUUUUGCUCCCGCGCUAAAAAAAAGGAUUUCCUGGCAAAGGCUCGCAAGGCCAGGAUGGAUACCGGCAGUCUUGGUUUCUCUGGAGAAAACGCAGGGCCCAUCUUCAUUAACGAACACCUUACUGCUGACAACAAGAGGCUGUUUGCUCAGGCCUUAGCACUCAAGAAAGAAAAAGGAUGGCGCUUCCUAUGGACUAAGAAUUGCCGUAUUAACGCACGCAAGUCCGAAGACAGCCGAGUUCACCGCAUUAACUGUGAAGCGGACCUUUCUGUUAUCUCUUAACCUGAAUCACGUGCAUAAUGUCAAUCCGUCCCCAACAGACCUCUUAUGGCUUCAUACUUCACACCGUCCGAACUAGAUUCUUACCUUAAGCCUCCUUGCCGAUCCCUUGUACAUUUUAAUGCACGCAGCUUACGGAAACAUUUUGAUGACAUUUAUCAUUUCCUAUCAUCUAUUCAGCACCACUUCUCGAUCAUAUGUGUUAGUGAAACCUGGCUCAGCGAAGCCGAUAACAACUUGUACUCUUUUUCAUCUUAUACGCCAGAAUACUGUCACCGGAGUGACAGCUGUCAUGGCGGCGCAGCUGUCUUCAUUUCUUCAGAGUUAGAAUAUUCCAGGCGUCGGGACUUAACAAUUAAUCAAGUAAAUUGUGAAUCAGUGUGGAUUGAGCUGAACGCAUCAUUUCUCGAUAUUGACGCCAAAAAUUUAGUGGUUGGUUCUAUUUAUCGAUCACCGUCGUCAUCCUUGAAUGAUUUUUGUUUAGAACUAAACCAUGUUUUGCACACGCUAUCGCUAGAAUGUAAAAACAUCAUUAUUAUGGGUGACAUCAAUAUUAAUCUUCUAGAUGUUCACAGUUCAUCAUACACUGCUUACACAGAUACAUUGAAUGGACAUGGCCUCGAAUCACUUGUAACUGUACCUACUCGGCGGAAUAUAAAUGGUCCGGAUACACUAAUUGACCAUGCAUUGUCGAAUCUCAUGGUUACACCUGGAUCUGGUGUCAUUGAAGUUUCACUAACUGAUCAUUAUCCAAUAUUCGUGCGUAUAAAUUCCAAUAUCAAUAUUCCAGAUAUGCAUGUUAAAAGAAAAAAUCUCGACAAAACUUCAUUUGUUAGGAAACUCGCCGAAGUUAAUUGGUACCCCGUUACGUCGCAAAAUAAUCCAGAAAUCGCCUUCGAAUUGUUUUGCAAUAUAAUUUCUAACGGUACUUCCGAAUCAACCACAAUAACCACGAGUAAGAAAAGGUUCGCUUUUCCUCGUUGUCCGUGGAUGGCUGAUAAUCUUCUGAAAUGCGUGCGCAGAAAAGAUAAUCUUUAUAAAAAAACAAAAAAGAAGCCAUUUAAUUUAACCCUGCUCACUCGUUACAAGUGCUACUCGAAUAUUUUGAGCAGGAUUCUUAAAAACGCUAAAAAAGAGUAUUAUGAAAAGGAAAUUGACCGUGCUGGCAACGAUUCUAAAAAGCAGUGGAAUAUUAUCAAUGAAUUUUUAAAUAGAACAUCGCCAAAUCCCGCCAUAACUGCUAUUCAAGUUGGGGAACAAACCCUUAAUAAUCCUUCAGCCAUCGCUAACGCCUUUGCCGAUUCUUUUUGCCCUGACCAGCCAUGUCUCUCAGUUCACAUCGACAAGGCUUAUCAUCGUUUGCCACACAGUUUUUUUCUCGGUCCAGUUUCCCCAGAAGAAGUGCGCAUGACCAUUCUGAGCUUAAAGAACACUGGAGCUGGUUUAGAUAACUUCAACUCAUCUCAUGUAAAGCUUAUAGCUCAUCUUAUCAGUGACACACUCUCACACAUAAUAAAUCUAAUAUUCAAAACUGGCGUCUUUCCUAGCUGCUUAAAAAUCGCCAAAGUUAUUCCUGUUUUCAAAAAGGGUAGCAAGAACUCGUUAUUAAACUACCGCCCUAUAUCUAUUUUAUCAUUUUUCAGCAAGAUAAUUGAAAAGUUAUUCGUAGUACGUUUAACUAGCUAUUUCACAAAGUUCAGUAUUUUGUCCUCUUAUCAAUUUGGCUUUCGAUCUGGUUAUUCAACUGAAUUAGCGCUCAUUACUUUAACCGAUCAUCUUAAAACAGCCAUUGACACAGGUAAAUUGGCUGGUACCUUGUUUAUUGAUUUUUCCAAAGCAUUCGAUUCAUUAAAUCAUGACAUACUUUUUGCUAAACUAAACGCUGUUGGCGUGUGUGGUCCAGCACUUUCCCUAAUUCGCAGUUAUUUACAUGAUCGAAAACAUAUCGUCUCUAUUUCUGAUACACAUUCGCGUGCCAAAAUAACUAACAUAGGGGUUCCACAAGGCUCAAUACUAGGACCAAUUUUAUUCCUCGUGUACAUCAAUGACCUUCCAGAAUACAUUACACAUUCCAGUUGUAUUAUAUACGCUGAUGACACAACAAUUUAUUCUUCUAACACUUCCUUGGUAUCGCUAAUAUCUCACCUUAAUGCCGACGUGGUUAAAAUCGUUAAUUGGUGCCGAGAUAAUAUGCUCAGUAUUAAUGCUACUAAAUCGAAAUUUGUAAUUUUUUCAUCCGCGCAAAAAAGUGUACAGGAGAAGCCAUGCAUUAACAUUGGUUCGACUUCGCUUCAGGCUGUUGACCAUGCAACAUUUCUUGGAGUUGAACUGGACAGUCAUUUAAAAUUUACAAAUCACAUAUCAUUAUUAACGCGUAAAGCAGCAUAUGGUAUCAGAAUACUAAUCAAAGUCCGCCCAUAUUUUCCUAUACGUAUAUUAAUUUCACUCUACUACGCAUUUAUUCACAGCCACAUCUCUUACUGCAUUUCUUCUUGGGGUAAUACUUACGCAACUCACUUGGCACCCCUGCAACACACACAAAACCAAGCUCUGAAAAUAAUAAGUUACAGCCAUUUUUCAUGUAGUGCUCUGCCAUUACUCCGCACAUAUAAUAUUCUGUCCGUAGUAGAUUUAAAUAAAUGUUGUCUUAGUGUCCUGACUUAUAAAUUUUGUCGAGGAGAACUACCAAUUUUGUUGAUAUCAAAAGACCAAACCCCCCAUUUCACUGGCACUCGAUUUUCACACCAUAAUAACUACCUCCUACCGCAACCAAGGACUAACUACGUCAAACUUACCGCGAACUUUUUAGCAACAUCAAUAUGGAAUUCACUACCACCCUCCAUUAAAUCAUCUCCUUCCAUUCAUUUAUUUAAGAGAAAAAUUCGUCGCCACUUCUUGGGAAAGUGAUUGUGUUGUAUAAUUUUUACGCUUCUGUAUGUCAAAUAAUACUCCUUGGAUCUGCUUUUCGUGUUUAUCCUUUGUUGUUACUACUAUGACUCGACUUUGUUUGUUAAUACUUACUAUGCCUAGGAUUGCUACUGCUGUUGAUAACCGCAUUAAGUAAACUUUUUCUAUGUAUUUUUUGUUGGAGGUCCCUCCUCAGUCUUUGACUAUGGGACCUCCUAGAGUUACUUCUGUAAAACAUUUCAAAUGCUCAAUAAACUGAAACUGAAACUGAAACUGAAUUUAGGGCUGCGAUCGUUACGCGAGUGCGAUCAUUAUGCGAGUAAAUACGGUAUUAGGUUGUUUUUGGUUUUACGCACUCAAUGUUAAGGGAUGCAAAUGGUGACAUAUAACAGAAUGCAAAAAUGACUAAUGAAUGCAAGUUGGGCGUGGGGCUUUUUAGGCAGAUGCAUGCGUGUGCUAUUUAUGAAGCUCCCCAUGGUAUGCCUGAAGGCAUUUUCUAACACUUUGGUAGAAAACACUGACACCCACUUAUUAAGGGGAAAUACUCCUCAAAACAACUUUUUUAUAUAUUUGUACUAGAGAUUUGAAUAUACUGUCAUUCAUAAAGUGUUUUAUUAGAUUUGAAUUGUCAUUGAUUUUUGUGUAGCUGCUGUUCUUUAGUUAUGGUCCUACACAGUGGCAAAAUAUUCUUGUGGGCACUUUCCUGUGUAUAAAAUUUUCAGAAAUAGCUUCAUGCUGUAUCUUAUUUAGCUAGUUAUAUACUGCAAAGUGAUGACACCUAUCGAAACGGCUUGUACAAUUACUGGAACUAUGCAAAAAAUAUUAUCCCCAUUAAAUAAUUUUACAGAUUGCACUUUCAAUGAGAUAUCAGCAUUCUGCAUAUCUUGAAUAGUAUGUGUGCCAAAUUUCGCUAGUAUAGGACAAUUAUAAGUGCAUAAGGUUAUUGUCAUGCUAUUGUGAGAAAAAGUUUUUGAAGUAUAUUCUAAUUUUUUUUCACAAUAGCAUGAGAAGUAUGCAAGAUUAGUAGGCAGGCCUGUCUGCCUGCCUACUAAUCUUGCAUACUUCUAGUAACUUUACAUGCUGUUUGAAUAGAUAUUGGCACUUUGCAGUCUACAAAGAGCUGAGUUAGCUGCAGCACACUGCUUUUUGUGAAAAUUUAAUACACAAGAAAGUGCCUGCAAAUAUGACUAUGUAUUUUGCUGUCGUGUAGGACAUAACUCGAGAAGCAGCUAAACAAAAACUAAUGGAAUAUCUAAAAUCUGCAUGAAGAACUCUACAAUUGGCUCUCUUUUCAAACCUCUAGUACAAAUAAUAAAAAUAUUUCGAGUAAUAUUCCAUCAGCAAAAUGUUCCCCUUGCUACAGUGACCUACAACAUAGCGACAAAAGUUUAAGGGAAGUCCUCUUGUCAAAGCGACUCUGGGCUGUCUUCCCAAGGGCUUCUGUUAAAGACUGCAUUUUCCUGCAUUUGUCAGGAGAGCAAUACAAAAAUGUUUGUGAAUGUGAAAAUGGUAUUGGCACACUAACAGAAAAAAAGACAGUUCUGUGAAAUGUAGACUUGAUUAUAACUUUGUUCGACAUUUACAUUCCGACUGCAUAUAUUUAUUUCGUGUUUUGUACUGAGUGUUUCAGCGGUGACUGCCGCUAAUUAUUGAACAUAACUGCUUCAUGACAGUGCGACUAACAGAAAUUUAUAGCAGUGGCAGGCAUUAGAAUUACAGUACUCAAUGACGUCUACUUUGUAAGAACUCAGACUAGCACCAGUUCUGAGAUACACAUACCCAAAAGGUAAUGAUCAAAUAGAUUUCUCUUUCACACAGAAUUGUCCCACAAGGCUUACAGAACUCAUUGUUUGUCAUCUUGUACAAGCAGAUUAUGCGCCAGAUGUAAUUUAUGCUCAGUAAAUACAUAAAUCAGUCAUGCGAGGUGUCUCACUUUAGGUUGCAAGUUCGAAAUUCUUUUAAUCUUGCUUGUUUUUAUUUUGUUUCCUUUGUGAGCAUGAGUGAGUUGGUGACCUUGGCACAUAUUGUCAAAACUGUUUCUUCAUCACUGGGAAUCGCAAAAUUUCAUUUACACAUGAAAUUCCCAGUUACUGAUAUGGUAGGCUUCGAGCUUAAUUCCCUUAUCUUUCAUAUGUUUAUCUACCAAGUAGUUUUAUCGUUCAUUGAAACAUAUCCAUGCAAUGCAGAGUGGGCACCCAAAUUAUAAAUAUCUGUUCUUGCUUUCUACCCUGCUCUGGUGUUUUCAAAACCUAGCAUUGGUGCAAUGGCCUGUCUGCACCUGCAGAAAAGUAGUGAAGUGGCUAAAGUUAAAGGUCAACAACAUAAUUAAGAUACAAAGCAAAAAUAUAAGUUCGCAAUUGUCCCCCAUAACCAGAGUUUUGCUUAGAAUUAAAAAAAAAAAUGGACAUCCUGCUCGGGUGUGAGAGUUGCUUUGGGCACCAAGGGGACUACGUAGCACCUGUGCUAGUGUACAGAAAGCAAAAAAAAAUCACUCCAGAUUGGAGCGGCAGCGGAAAGUUCAGCACAGAUGUUUUAUUUCACGCACCAUUAAUGUGGCUUAUCAUCUGCUCCUGUUGUAUGGGAACGCAUACAUUGGGAAGACAAUCCUUUGCGCCAUUGUUACCUUAGCGGGACACCAGAGAAAGGUAGAAAUAAAUAAAAUCGAGAACAGGUAUUCACACUUGGUUGCACACAGUGUAUUAUCUGGAAGUGUUUCACUCUACAAAAGACUACUGUGAUAGAUAAUCAUAAUGACAAAGACAAAAGAAUUAAAAGAGGUAUGUGUCAGUCAUCCGUCCGUGACCUCCAGUGUUUAUAGAAACACUUCUUUCUGUAUAUGUGCCAAGCCGUAGGGAGGCUUUAUGUAACUCAGUCAUGCUUGCUUAGUUAAAGAUUGGAAUAAGGGAAAUCACAAGAACAUUGUAUGAGUGAUUUGUAAAUGUGGCACCUAAUGUAACUUAUUCAUGUAUGGGCUGAGGAUAGAUUACAGCCAGUGCAUAAUGUGCUCUUACAGGAUGACUUGUGAUGAGUAAAAGAAGCCUUCCUCACAUCUUCCUCUUUGUUUCUUCUGGAUCUUUGUGCACUAUGUGUAUUGUUACAGCUGCGUGCAUGUAGCUGGGUAUAGUUUAUGUGUUCUGCUUCCUUCCUUGUCCUCAUAAUUCAUGCGCCAUCUUUGCCGUAACAAAAUACAGCUACCUGUGCUACUUAUUUUGUCAAUGUGUUUGCAUUAUGGAAAGUUUUGUAUUAGCGGUUAUUUCUACCUGUGAAAUUGUCUGUGUCAGCUAUUAUACUUAGUCUUGCAAAAGUAUGUUUCUCAACAUAAAUAAAUGAUCAGUAUAAGUGUUGCUGUAUUUAUUUUUGUAAUUUUGUCAGUUAUGAAGUUUUUAUACACUGUUGCAUGUUGUAUGACAGAAUAAAAUUGAUGCACAACUUUUUAA